rnacentral:rRNA from 1 species
UACGUAGGGUGCGAGCGUUAAUCGGAAUUACUGGGCGUAAAGCGUGUGUAGGUGGUUUGCUAAGUCAGGUGUGAAAUCCCUGGGCUCAACCUAGGAAUUGCAUUUGAUACUGGCAAGCUUGAGUGUGGUAGAGGAUGGUGGAAUUCCCGGUGUAGCGGUGAAAUGCGUAGAUAUCGGGAGGAACAUCAGUGGCGAAGGCGGCCAUCUGGACUGACACUGACACUGAGACACGAAAGCGUGGGGAGCAAACAGG